rnacentral:rRNA from 1 species
UUACCUACCCUUGACAUCGAGAGAACUUUCCAGAGAUGGAUUGGUGCCUUCGGGAACUCUCAGACAGGUGCUGCAUGGCUGUCGUCAGCUCGUGUUGUGAAAUGUUGGGUUAAGUCCCGUAACGAGCGCAACCCUUAUCCUUAGUUGCUACCAUUUAGUUGGGCACUCUAAGGAGACUGCCGGUGAUAAACCGGAGGAAGGUGGGGACGACGUCAAGUCAUCAUGGCCCUUACGGCCAGGGCUACACACGUGCUACAAUGGCCGGUACAGAGGGCCGCAAACUCGCGAGAGUAAGCUAAUCCCUUAAAGCCGGUCCUAGUCCGGAUUGCAGUCUGCAACUCGACUGCAUGAAGCUGGAAUCGCUAGUAAUCGCGGAUCAGAAUGCCGCGGUGAAUUCGUUCCCGGGUCUUGUACACACCG